rnacentral:rRNA from 1 species
UACGUAGGGGGCAAGCGUUGUCCGGAAUCAUUGGGCGUAAAGCGCGUGUAGGCGGACUGGAAGGUCUGGUGUGAAAGCCCGGGGCUCAACCCCGGAGGGUCACUGGAAACCGACAGUCUCGAGUCCGGAAGAGGAGAGUGGAAUUCCUGGUGUAGCGGUGAAAUGCGCAGAUAUCAGGAGGAACACCGAUGGCGAAGGCAGCUUACUGGGCCGAUACUGACGCUGAGGAGCGAAAGCGUGGGGAGCGAACAGG